rnacentral:rRNA from 1 species
UACGAAGGGGGCUAGCGUUGCUCGGAAUUACUGGGCGUAAAGGGCGCGUAGGCGGAUAGUUUAGUCAGAGGUGAAAGCCCAGGGCUCAACCCUGGAAUUGCCUUUGAUACUGGCUAUCUUGAGUUCGGGAGAGGUGAGUGGAACUCCGAGUGUAGAGGUGAAAUUCGUAGAUAUUCGGAAGAACACCAGUGGCGAAGGCGGCUCACUGGACUGGUAUUGACGCUGAGGUGCGAAAGCGUGGGGAGCAAACAGG